GGGGGAAGGGAGGUGGCAGAUCGGUUUCUGGUUUUCGUGGUGGGCGGGAAAUCGCAAAGAGGCGGUGAGACUUUGGGGAUCUAGGGGCUCGGCGAUUCGCGGUUGGUGCCGGCGAGGUCGAGCCCCUCGUGGUGUUGACGAAUUUUCCCCUGGGCACAUUUUUGAUGUAGUCCAUCUCGGCCUCCGGCUCCGGCGCAAUGGGGCGGGAGAAGCGGCUGAGGCUGCGGGAGCGGCGGAGAGAGCGGUGGGGGGGUGGAGCCGCCGAUUGAAGAAAGAAAGAGGCGGCGAUGCAGAUCGGAGGGCUUGCGGGGGAAGGGAGGUGGCCGGCGCGGUGAAGGNAGCCGCCAAUUGAAGAAAGAAAGAGGCGGCGAUGCAGAUAGGAGGGCUUGCGGGGGAAGGGAGGUGGCAGGCGCGGUGAAGGCGGCGGUGGCGACUGGAAAGGCUGCGGGAGCGGCGGAGAGAGCGGUGGGGGGUGGAGCCGCCGAUUGAAGAAAGAAAGUGGCGGCGAUGCAGAUCGGAGGGCUUGCGGAGGAAGGGAGGUGGCCGGCGCGGUGAAGGCGGCGGUGGCGACUGGAAUCCGAGUGAUGAAUGGUGGAAAUCUGGUGGAAGAUUAUGAGCGCAGGAUUGGUGAAUGUGAGGGUGAAAUCAUGUGUGUGUGAAGAUGUGUGUGAAGAGGAAUUGAAAUUGGUGAUAUCG
rnacentral:lncRNA from 1 species